CCUACGGGUGACAGCAGUGAGGGAUAUUGGUCAAUGGAGGGAACUCUGAACCAGCCAUGCCGCGUGCGGGAAGACGGCUCUAUGAGUGGUAAACUGCUUUUGUAGAAGGGUAAACAUGAAUACGUGUAUUCAGCUAAGCGUCGUGUACGAAUGAGCAUCGGCUAACUACGUGCCAGAAGCCGCAGUAAUACGGAGGAUCCAAGCGAUAUAAGGAAUUACUGGGUGUUAAGGGUACGUAGGCGGAUUGAUAAGUUGAAUGUGAAAGGUCCGGGCUUAACCCGGGAACUGCCUCUAAUCCUGUUGAUCUUGAGAGUAGGUGCGGUAGGCGGAAUGUAUGGUGUAGCGGUGAAAUGCUUAGAGAUCAUACAGAACACCGAUUGCGAAGGCAGCUUACCAAUCUAUAUCUGACGUUGAGGCACGAAAGCGUGGGGAGCAAACAGGAUUAGAUACCCGUGUAGUC
rnacentral:rRNA from 1 species